GAAGGCUCGGAAAAAAGAUAAACUGCCUAGGAAAUCAAGAUUUCCUGUCAGUUUCCUAUUUUUCAGUCGCCUUC
rnacentral:ncRNA from 1 species